CUCUGAUACAGUACGCUGGGGGUCAAAGUGUGUCAAAUCAGAGUACAGGUCAGCAGGUUGUAAUUGCAUUGUGCUGCCUGUGUUGCUGCUUGUCUCCAGCCGUUUCUCGUCACAGAAAACGUUGCCCCGAGGCUAUGCGCUGGAAUGCCACAGGGGGCACCACCGGACUGAAUGUGGCAGCAAUGGACGCCUUUACAAAUCCCUGUAUGCCUUCCAGAGAGCCCAGUACAUCACCACUCAGCUACAGAUGGCACCACGAGCACACUGUGCAGCCAAACGUGACGCACCAAACGUAGCGAUUUCUCCUAAACAAAUAAUCUUUCAGGAAAAACUGAGCAUUUGCUAUCUAACUGAGAGUCUCCUCAUUGAAAACAUCUGAAGUUCUUCAAAGGUAAAUGAUUUUAUUUGAAUGAUUUUCUGUUUUUUGUGAAAAUGUUGCCUGCUGAUGCUAACGCUAAAUGCUACGCUAGCUAUCAAUACUGUUACACAAAUGCUUGUUUUGCUAUGGUUGAGAAGCAUAUUUUGAAAAUCUGAGAUGACAGCGUUGUUAACAAAAGGCUAAGCUUGAGAGCUAGCAUAUUAAUUUAAUUUCAUUUGCGAUUUUCAUGAAUAGUUAACGUUGUGUUAUGCUAAUGAGCUGCGGGGAUAAUUACACUCCUGGAU
ensembl:lncRNA